UACCAGCAAGAUCUUUCUGCAAUUGAAAAACUCGAGGUCCAUUCCCUUGUGAAAACCUCUCUUGAAGAUUAUUCCAAACAUCCAGUGCUGAAUUGCGAUAAGUCAUGCUUAUUGCAAUCUUUGGAGAUACGCAAUUUAGAAUUACAGCCCUUUCCAUGUUGUUCUUGUGGAAAGUGCACAUGUAAUGUCAAUGGCAAAAUAGCUGAUCUUCAACAUAGAGAUUCAGUGAUGCAAUUGUUAAUGGGGCUUAAUGAGUCUUUUAGCCAGGUUAGAGGUCAGGUUUUACUCAUGGAUCUCCUGCCUCCUCUCCACAAAGUCUAUUCUUUGUUAAUUCAAGAAGAGAGACAAAGAUCAAUUGGACAAUCUCAUGGACCUUUUGUUGAGUCCACAGCUCUUGCUACUAAAGCUGUGAAUUCAGGUGCAGCUACUGGAACAAAGAACUAUAAGAAAGGCAAAGAAAGACCAACAUGCAGUCACUGUGGCUUGAUUGGACACACUGUAAAUAAGUGCUACAAGAUCCAUGGUUAUCCACUUGGAUAUAAAGCCAAAUCCAGAAAUCCUGUUGCAAAUCAAGUGUCAUGUGUUGAUUUUGGUCCUAAUCAGAUUGGUCCUCAAACCAGUUUGGACUUCAGUCACAGCAACUUGUUUCUCAGCCACAGUUCAAUGGCACAGUUGGUAAUCAACCUGUUUCUCAGCCUCAAUUCACUAGCACAGUUGGCACUCAGCCCCAAUUUCGUAGCACAACACACUCCCCAUUCACACCAGAGCAAUACCAAAAGAUUCUUGCCAUGAUUGGUGGCCAGGAGGUUGCUUCCACUGCCAUUGGAAUGGCUAAUAAUGUGUCUUUUCCAUUACACAACCUACUCCUUUGACAGGACCUCAUCUAUUGGUGGAAGAUUGGGAAGGGUGGAGUCAGCAAUGGACUCUAUUUGCUGCAGAAUAUCACAUCUGCUUCAGCAGUUUCACCAUCAUCCCUUCAAGAUUAUAUUUCUCAAUUCAGAUCUACCCAUUCUGCCACUAUUUCUGCACAAGUUUCUGUCCAAGACAUGUCUUUUCUAUGGCAAUUUAGGUUAGGACACCCUUCUUUCAAGAGGUUAUUACCUUAAAAGAUGUACUUUCUUCUUUUUCUGCAAAUUGCAAAGAUGUAUGUACUGUUUGUCCUUUGGCAAAGCAAAAAAUUCUAUCCUUUCCAUUCAAUAAUAAUAUUUGUUUCAACCCUUUUGAUUUGA